rnacentral:rRNA from 1 species
UACGGAGGGGGCGAGCGUUAUUCGGAAUUAUUGGGCGUAAAGGGCGCGUAGGCGGCUGUACAAGUCAAAGGUGAAAUCCCUCGGCUCAACUGAGGAACUGCCUUUGAAACUGUACGGCUUGAGGCCGGGAGGGGGUAGCGGAAUUCCCAGUGUAGCGGUGAAAUGCGUAGAUACUGGGAGGAACACCAGUGGCGAAGGCGGCUACCUGGACCGGUUCGUGACGCUGAGGCGCGAAAGCGUGGGUAGCAAACGAGG